rnacentral:rRNA from 1 species
GACGAACGCUGGCGGCGUGCUUAACACAUGCAAGUCGAACGGAAAGGCCCUGCUUUUGUGGGGUGCCCGAGUGGCGAGCGGGUGUGUUACCCGUGAGUAACCUGCCCUUGACUUUGGGAUAUCUUCAGGCAACUGGGGCUACUACCGGAUAGGAGCUCCUGCUGCAUGGUGGGGGUUGGAACGUUUCGGAGGUUGGGGCUGGACUCGCGGCUUAUCAGUUGGUUGGUGGGGUAGUGGCCUACCGAGGCUUUGACGGGUAGCCGGCCUGGGAGGGUGACCGGCCACAUUGGGACUAAGAGACGGCCCAGACUCCUACAGGAGGCAGCAGUGGAGAAUAUUACACAAUGGGCGGAAGCCUGAUGCAACAACGCCGCGUGCGGAAUGACGGCCUUCGGGUUGUAAACCGCUGUCGCCUGUGACGAAGCGGGAGUGACGGUAAUGGGUAAAGAAGCACCGGCUAACUACGUG